rnacentral:rRNA from 1 species
UACGUAGGGGGCAAGCGUUGUCCGGAUUUAUUGGGCGGAAAGAGCGUGUAGGCGGCCAAACAGGUCAGCUGUGAAAACUCGAGGCUCAACCUCGAGACGUCGGUUGAAACCGUUUGGCUAGAGUCCGGAAGAGGAGAGUGGAAUUCCCGGUGUAGCGGUGAAAUGCGCAGAUAUCGGGAAGAACACCCGUGGCGAAGGCGGCUCUCUGGGACGGUACUGACGCUGAGACGCGAAAGCGUGGGGAGCGAACAGG